UACAGAGGGGGCAAGCGUUAUUCGGAAUUAUUGGGCGUAAAGGGCGCGUAGGCGGCCCUUCAAGUGACGGGUGAAAGCCCUCGGCUUAACCGAGGAACUGCCUGUCAGACUGGAAGGCUUGAGACCGGGAGAGGUGAGUGGAAUUCCCAGUGUAGCGGUGAAAUGCGUAGAUAUUGGGAGGAACACCAGUGGCGAAGGCGGCUCACUGGACCGGAACUGACGCUGAUGCGCGAAAGCGUGGGGAGCAAACAGG
rnacentral:rRNA from 1 species